GGGGGUGUAGCUCAUCUGGUAGAGCGCGUGCUUAGCAUUAUACAUGUUCCUGCACGAGGUACUGGGUUCGACUCCCAGCUCCUCCA
rnacentral:tRNA from 1 species